GGAUGCGAUCAUACCAGCACUAAAGCACCAGAUCCCAUCAAAACUCUGUAGUUAAGCGUGCUUGGGCGAGAGUAGUACUAGGAUGGGUGACCUCCUGGGAAGUCCUUGUGUUGUAGUCC
rnacentral:rRNA from 2 species